AAUUAUCAACCUUGCUUUGCUUUUACUAGCAUUGCUCGGCUUGGAUGUGGGGGUUUUUGCUGGCUUCCUUCAGUGGAUGGUCUGCUCCCCUUAAAUGCAUUAGUGGGAUCUCUUGUGGACCGUCACUUGGUGUGAUAAUUAUCUAUGCCAUGCGACUUUGAAGCAAACUUUAUGGGAACCUGCUUAUAACCGUCCCUCACAAGGACAACUUAUUGACA
rnacentral:misc_RNA from 1 species